rnacentral:rRNA from 1 species
CCCUUAGACGUUCUGGGCCGCACGCGCGCUACACUGACGAAGGCAACGAGCUUUCCUUUACCGAAAGGUACGGGUAAUCUUUUGAAACUUCGUCGUGCUGGGGAUAGAUCCUUGCAAUUUUUGAUCUUAAACGAGGAAUUCCUAGUAAGCGCAAGUCAUCAACUUGCGUUGAUUACGUCCCUGCCCUUUGUACACACCGCCCGUCGCUACUACCGAUUGAAUGGUUUAGUGAGGCCUUCGGAUCCGCGACUCGUUUUGUGGAGAAGUUGGACAAACUCAGUCAUUUAGAGGAAGUAAAAGUCGUAACAA